rnacentral:rRNA from 1 species
GAUGAACGCUGGCGGCGUGCCUAAUACAUGCAAGUCGAGCGAACGGACGAGAAGCUUGCUUCUCUGAUGUUAGCGGCGGACGGGUGAGUAACACGUGGAUAACCUACCUAUAAGACCGGGAUAACUUCGGGAAACCGGAGCUAAUACCGGAUGAUAUUUUGAACCGCAUGGUUCAAAAGUGAAAGACGGUCUUGCUGUCACUUAUAGAUGGAUCCGCGCUGCAUUAGCUAGUUGGUAAGGUAACGGCUUACCAAGGCAACGAUGCAUAGCCGACCUGAGAAGGUGAUCGGCCACACUGGAACUGAGACACGGUCCAGACUCCUACGGGAGGCAGCAGUAGGGAAUCUUCCGCAAUGGGCGAAAGCCUGACGGAGCAACGCCGCGUGAGUGAUGAAGGUCUUCGGAUCGUAAAACUCUGUUAUUAGGGAAGAACAUAUGUGUAAGUAACUGUGCACAUCUUGACGGUACCUAAUCAGAAAGCCACGGCUAACUACGUG